rnacentral:misc_RNA from 1 species
GUAGGUGAACCUGCGGAAGGAUCAUCAUUAAAGGGCUUUAUGCCCAAUCCAACCCGUCAUUACGCGCACUUGUAUAACUUUGUUGGGAAGCUUUUGUUUCCCAGCGUUUUAAACUACCAAUUCUUCUAUUGAACAAUACUGAUUUUAUAAAACUAUAAAAUACAACUUUUAACAAUGGAUCUCUUGGCUCUC